CCUCCUGUGUGAGCCUCUCAGUGUCCACACCAUGGGGUCUGCGCUCCUCUGGGCUGCCCUUCUCUUCGCUGUCAAAGGUGGCCUGUGCCAAGUUCAACUGGUGGAGUCUGGGGGAGGCGUGGUGCCUCCUGGGGGGACUCUGAGUCUCUCCUGCAAAGCUUCUGGAUUCACCUUCACUAACUACAGCAUGUACUGGGUCCGCCAGGCUCCAGAGAAGGGGCUGCAGUGGGUGGCAACAGUGAGUCAACCAAAUGGAAAGAAUCAGUGGUAUGCUCCAGCAGUUCAAGGAAGAUUCACAAUCUCCAGGGACAACCCUACGAGCACAGUUUCUCUUAAAAUGACCAAGCUGACAUCUGAGGACACAGCCAUAUAUUACUGUACAAGAGACACAGUGCAGCUGGUGCAGUCUGGGUCUGAGGUGAGGAAGCCUGGGGCCUCCGUGAAGGUCUCCUGCAAGGCUUCUGGAUACACCUUCACCAGCUAUGCUAUGAACUGGGUGCGACAGGCUCCAGGAAAGGCCCUGCAGUAUAUGGGCUGGAUCAACACGGAAACUGGGAAACCCACGUAUGCUCAGGGAUUUUCAGAAAGAUUUGUCUUCUCCAUGGACACCUCUGUCAGCACGGCCUAUCUGCAGAUCAAUGGCCUCAAGUCUGAGGACACAGCCAUGUAUUACUGUGCAAGACACAGUGAGGGGAAGGCAAUGUGA